UACCCGCAGCACAAGUGGUGGUCAUUAUUAUUGGGCGUAAAGCGUCCGCAGGUGGCACUUCAAGUCUGUCGUCAAAGACUGGGGCUUAACCCUGGAAAGGCGGUGGAAACUGAAGCGCUAGAGUGCGGUAGGGGUAGAGGGAAUUCCCGGUGUAGCGGUGAAAUGCGUAGAGAUCGGGAAGAACAUCGGUGGCGAAGGCGCUCUACUGGACCGCAACUGACACUCAGGGACGAAAGCUAGGGGAGCGAAUGGG
rnacentral:rRNA from 1 species